rnacentral:rRNA from 1 species
UACGUAGGGGGCAAGCGUUGUCCGGAUUUAUUGGGCGUAAAGAGCGUGUAGGCGGCUAGGUAGGUCCGUUGUGAAAACUCGAGGCUCAACCUCGAGCUGUCGAUGGAAACCAUCUGGCUAGAGUCCGGAAGAGGAGAGUGGAAUUCCUGGUGUAGCGGUGAAAUGCGCAGAUAUCAGGAAGAACACCCGUGGCGAAGGCGGCUCUCUGGUACGUGACUGACGCUGAGACGCGAAAGCGUGGGGAGCGAACGGG